rnacentral:rRNA from 1 species
UACGAAGGGGGCUAGCGUUGCUCGGAAUCACUGGGCGUAAAGCGCACGUAGGCGGCUUUCUAAGUCAGGGGUGAAAUCCUGGAGCUCAACUCCAGAACUGCCUUUGAUACUGGCGAUCUCGAGUCCGGGAGAGGUGAGUGGAACUGCGAGUGUAGAGGUGAAAUUCGUAGAUAUUCGCAAGAACACCAGUGGCGAAGGCGGCUCACUGGCCCGGUACUGACGCUGAGGUGCGAAAGCGUGGGGAG